rnacentral:lncRNA from 1 species
ACUGCUAUAAAGAUUGCUAUAAGGUAAUAUGUCUAUGUGUAUUAGUCAGGGUAAUCUCAGUGGCUUAACACAAGACAAGGUGUUCACUUGGCAUCCUCCUACAUGGUUAUUCAGAAUUCUGGUUCCUUUAUCUCAUUGCACCGCUGUUCACUGGCUGCUCUGCAUUUAACCAGCAAAAAUGUUGAGAGUGAGGAAAAUCCUGCAGUACGUCUUGUGGGCAGGCUUGGAAACGGAAUUCAACACUUCCAUAAACAUUUCACUGGCCAGAACCUGAUCCCCCCGGUUCCAAUCUACAUGCAAGGGAAGCUGCUAACACAGUCCUGUUUGCCUGCAAGAGGAAAGGAGAUUGGUAAGCAUCCGGCCCAACUGACCCAGGAGAAAGUUGGCUCGUGUCUCUUAAGGCACAUCUCCAGGAAUACAGUGAGAGUGAGGCUGCAGACUAUCCCAUCCUUUCUUUGAUCAUUUGCUGGCUCCUCGCAUCAGAAAAGAAAUUCAUGCUAAUGGUAUCCAAUGAAACAAGCUAAGAUGCAUGAAGAAAGAGUUUACGAUUUCCCUUUCUCCUUCCAGCCCCCACCCAGGCUGUGGUAGAGAUGACAACUUCUCAUCACUAUCUGUUUUUCUCGUCUUCCUGGUGCACAACUAGAAGACAUUUCUCAUUCCUCUUGCAUUUGGUGAGGCCACACUGUUAGUGACUACUCACCAAGGAAGUUUAGGAAAAGUGAGACUUCUCCAUCUUUUUGCCAAUUGCUGGAUGAAUGAAGACUUUCCGAAGGAAGGAAAGACCGCAAGAUAGGAGGAACACAGGUGUGCUGGUUUAUCAGUGUAUUGCCUCUCAGUGCCAAACCCACUCUUCCUUGCCCUGCUUUGUUACGCUGGAGCCAGAUCCUAUAAACAAACACGUCUCCCGUUCCAGGUGGCACAAGGUCAGGCUACUCAGCAGAAGGUCUUAGAGGGAGACUCCUAGAGGAAGGGGCUUCUCAUCCUAGUUCUGGGGCCAUUUUUCCUAUUGAUUCUAGCAGAAUGUGGCAGCAAACAGCAGCCCGGACUCCUAGAGGCACUCAUCCUCCAGCAAGUUUCCCUGGCUCUCCAGCGGGCAGCAUCUAACAUAUCCCUGACUGACCUGACCGCUGGAAAGGAGCCUCUGGCCCCCACAGCCUGUUACAAGAGUAUGAACUAAUCGUGUUCAGCCACUAAAAUUUGGGGCUGCUACUUAAAGUAAUUAAACUACUUUGAGCAAAUAGUCAAAUGACAGAAUUGUGGUAGCAAUUAAUACUUGGUAAAUCAAGUACUCUAGGCUUUUCUUUUUCAAAUUGACAUAGCUAUUCUCAAUAAUACUUUCACAUGAAAUUUGACUUAAUUUUAUCUCAUCCCAGUAAAUGAGAAUUCCACUCCCCCGGAAUUCUGAUUGAAAUAUUUACAAAAGUUAACAUUUUUUAAAUAUUAGCUCUUUCCCCUGGGAAACGUAUUGUGCCUCCAUAUUUGUUUAGACUUUCUAUGGUGUCCUCCAGUAACGUUUUAUAAUUUUUUUGUGUAGGAAAUACCUUGCUUGUUAAACUUAUUUGAUCACUACUUCAAAUGAGAUAUUUUUCUGUUUCUGUUUUAAAGCAUUCUUUCCAAUUCAAAGAAUUUCUAUGGGUUUUUGUAUAUUGAUCUUUUUUUUAAUCUAUCUGCCAAAUUUUCUUGUUAAUUUUCAUAGUUUUAAGAAAAUCCUUUGGGUUUUGUCAUCUGAAAUAGAGAUAAAUCUAAUAUCUGCAUUGAUGUUUUCUUUUCUUAUUA